rnacentral:rRNA from 1 species
ACGCUGGCGGCAGGCCUAACACAUGCAAGUCGAACGGUAACAGGAAGAAGCUUGCUUCUUUGCUGACGAGUGGCGGACGGGUGAGUAAUGUCUGGGAAACUGCCUGAUGGAGGGGGAUAACUACUGGAAACGGUAGCUAAUACCGCAUAACGUCGCAAGACCAAAGAGGGGGACCUUCGGGCCUCUUGCCAUCGGAUGUGCCCAGAUGGGAUUAGCUAGUAGGUGGGGUAACGGCUCACCUAGGCGACGAUCCCUAGCUGGUCUGAGAGGAUGACCAGCCACACUGGAACUGAGACACGGUCCAGACUCCUACGGGAGGCAGCAGUGGGGAAUAUUGCACAAUGGGCGCAAGCCUGAUGCAGCCAUGCCGCGUGUAUGAAGAAGGCCUUCGGGUUGUAAAGUACUUUCAGCGGGGAGGAAGGGAGUAAAGUUAAUACCUUUGCUCAUUGACGUUACCCGCAGAAGAAGCACCGGCUAACUCCGUGCCAGCAGCCGCGGUAAUACGGAGGGUGCAAGCGUUAAUCGGAAUUACUGGGCGUAAAGCGCACGCAGGCGGUUUGUUAAGUCAGAUGUGAAAUCCCCGGGCUCAACCUGGGAACUGCAUCUGAUACUGGCAAGCUUGAGUCUCGUAGAGGGGGGUAGAAUUCCAGGUGUAGCGGUGAAAUGCGUAGAGAUCUGGAGGAAUACCGGUGGCGAAGGCGGCCCCCUGGACGAAGACUGACGCUCAGGUGCGAAAGCGUGGGGAGCAAACAGGAUUAGAUACCCUGUAGUCCACGCCGUAAACGAUGUCGACUUGGAGGUUGUGCCCUUGAGGCGUGGCUUCCGGAGCUAACGCGUUAAGUCGACCGCCUGGGGAGUACGGCCGCAAGGUUAAAACUCAAAUGAAUUGACGGGGGCCCGCACAAGCGGUGGAGCAUGUGGUUUAAUUCGAUGCAACGCGAAGAACCUUACCUGGUCUUGACAUCCACAGAACUUUCCAGAGAUGGAUUGGUGCCUUCGGGAACUGUGAGACAGGUGCUGCAUGGCUGUCGUCAGCUCGUGUUGUGAAAUGUUGGGUUAAGUCCCGCAACGAGCGCAACCCUUAUCCUUUGUUGCCAGCGGUCCGGCCGGGAACUCAAAGGAGACUGCCAGUGAUAAACUGGAGGAAGGUGGGGAUGACGUCAAGUCAUCAUGGCCCUUACGACCAGGGCUACACACGUGCUACAAUGGCGCAUACAAAGAGAAGCGACCUCGCGAGAGCAAGCGGACCUCAUAAAGUGCGUCGUAGUCCGGAUUGGAGUCUGCAACUCGACUCCAUGAAGUCGGAAUCGCUAGUAAUCGUGGAUCAGAAUGCCACGGUGAAUACGUUCCCGGGCCUUGUACACACCGCCCGUCACACCAUGGGAGUGGGUUGCAAAAGAAGUAGGUAGCUUAACCUUCGGGAGGGCGCUUACCACUUUGUGAUUCAUGACUGGGG